GGACUACUCGGGUAUCUAAUCCCAUUCGCGACCCACGCUUUCGUGUUUCAGCGUCAGGAGCGGGCCAGUCUCUUGCCUUCGCUUUUGGUGUUCCCCAUGAUAUCAACGCAUUUCACCGCUACACCAUGAGUUCCAGAGACCUCUCCCGUCCUCAAGCCGUACCGUUUCCCACGCAGCUCUUCGGUUGAGCCGAAGAAUUUAACGCAGGACUAAUACAGCCGCCUACACACCCUUUACGCCCAAUGAUUCCGGAUAACGCUUGAAGCACUCGUAUUACCGCGGCUGCUGGCAC
rnacentral:rRNA from 1 species